rnacentral:rRNA from 1 species
AGAUUGAACGCUGGCGGCAGGCCUAACACAUGCAAGUCGAGCGGCAGCACGGGUACUUGUACCUGGUGGCGAGCGGCGGACGGGUGAGUAAUGCCUAGGAAUCUGCCUGGUAGUGGGGGAUAACGCUCGGAAACGGACGCUAAUACCGCAUACGUCCUACGGGAGAAAGCAGGGGACCUUCGGGCCUUGCGCUAUCAGAUGAGCCUAGGUCGGAUUAGCUAGUUGGUGAGGUAAUGGCUCACCAAGGCGACGAUCCGUAACUGGUCUGAGAGGAUGAUCAGUCACACGUGGAACUG